rnacentral:rRNA from 1 species
GACGAACGCUGGCGGCGUGCUUAACACAUGCAAGUCGAACGGAGUGGCGAACGGGUGAGUAACACGUGGGUGAUCUGCCUUGCACUUCGGGAUAAGCUUGGGAAACUGGGUCUAAUACCGGAUAGUGCAAGAUGAGCUCGCGGCCUAUCAGCUUGUUGGUGGGGUAAUGGCCUACCAAGGCGUCGACGGGUAGCCGGCCUGAGAGGGUGUACGGCCCCAUUGGGACUGGGGUACGGCCCAGAGUCCUACGUGAGUCAGCGGUGGGGAAUAUUGCACAAUGGGCGGCAGCCGGUUGGAGCGACGCCGGGUGGGGGAUGAAGGCCUUCGGGUUGUAAACUCCUUGCGACAGGGACGCGGUACCUGUAUAAGAGGCACCGGCUAACUACGUGCCAGCAGCCGCGGUAAUA